AAUCUCUUUUUAAAGUAAUUUCUGCAGGAUGACUACUGCUCCAAGAAUAGGAAGUUAAGCCAAAGAUGGCUACCAAAAUCCAUUAGCAAUAGGAAUAUCUGUGCUGAGGAAACAGCACAUCAGCUGUAAAGCCCUGUUGUGACUGCAAGUUUUGGCAUUAUAGGAAGACAGUAAAAUAAAGAGAACUCUGAGCUUAUCACUACUUUGCAGUUUUGAAAUUUAAAACUUGGGAGAGAGCUACUGUUGCCUUUCUAGCCAAAGAAUAGUGUUUACAAAUAGCCAUGUUACACAGAUUUGCAGUAAGCACUUAAAUCCAAACCUAAAUAAAUAUUUAGCUCUGUGCUGUGUUAGUGAAACCUCAGUUAAAAUCAAUAUUUUCAUCAGAAUGAAAUACUGGAGAUAUUUUUUAAAGUUUGGGUGUAAAUAUUGUCAUUUUUUAAUCUAAAAGUCCUCUUAAAAAAAAAAAAAGCUGUGUAUUUUUAAAUGUCUAGAAUUAAAGUGAAUGCAAUUAGUUCCUUCCCCUC
rnacentral:lncRNA from 1 species